ACUUAAAGCUAAAAUACAACACGAUGAAGUGGGCCUGUAUGUUUCUGCUUGUUGCUCUAAUGGCUUUGACAGUAAUAGAGCAGAUCGAUACAAGACCUAGAGAUAUACUUCCUACCACGCCAUGGUCUUGCUGUUAUUGCUUUUUGCCUCCCUGUCCCUGCCUUCCUCCCCACCACCCUCUGUGUACAUUUCAGGGGUAAUCUUCUAAGGAAGCUUUAUCACAACACCGGUUGUAUGUGCCUGGACCAGUCCUGUAAGUACAUGACAGUAAGCUUUAUCACAACACCGGCUGUAUGUGUCUGGACCAGUCCUGUAAGUACAUGACAGUAAGCUUUAUCACAACACCGGCUGUAUGUGCCUGGACCAGUCCUGUAAGUACAUGACAGUAAGCUUUAUCACAACACCGGUUGUAGGUGCCUGGACCAGUCCUGUAAGAACAUGACAGUAAGCUUUAUCACAACACCGGUUGUAGGUGCCUGGACCAGUCCUGUAAGUACAUGACAGUAAGCUUUAUCACAACACCGGCUGUAUGUGCCUGGACCAGUCCUGUAAGUACAUGACAGUAAGCUUUAUCACAACACCGGCUGUAUGUGCCUGGACCAGUCCUGUAAGUACAUGACAGUAAGCUUUAUCACAACACCGGCUGUAUGUGUCUGGACCAGUCCUGUAAGUACAUGACAGUAAGCUUUAUCACAACACCGGCUGUAUGUGUCUGGACCAGUCCUGUAAGUACAUGACAGUAAGCUUUAUCACAACACCGGCUGUAUGUGCCUGGACCAGUCCUGUAAGUACAUGACAGUAAGCUUUAUCACAACACCGGCUGUAUGUGUCUGGACCAGUCCUGUAAGUACAUGACAGUAAGCUUUAUCACAACACCGGCUGUAUGUGCCUGGACCAGUCCUGUAAGUACAUGACAGUAAGCUUUAUCACAACACCGGCUGUAUGUGUCUGGACCAGUCCUGUAAGUACAUGACAGUAAGCUUUAUCACAACACCGGCUGUAUGUGUCUGGACCAGUCCUGUAAGUACAUGACAGUAAGCUUUAUCACAACACCGGCUGUAUGUGCCUGGACCAGUCCUGAACAUCAAAGAAAAACGAAAUUAUGAUAAUCUUGGAUUCCUUUGAAAUAAAAUGAUUUACAAUUGUA